rnacentral:rRNA from 6 species
UGUUUUCAUUAAUCAAGAACGAAAGUUAGAGGUUCGAAGGCGAUCAGAUACCGCCCUAGUUCUAACCAUAAACGAUGCCAACCAGCGAUCCGCCUGAGUUCCUCAAAUGACUCGGCGGGCAGCUUCCGGGAAACCAAAGUGUUUGGGUUCCGGGGGAAGUAUGGUUGCAAAGCUGAAACUUAAAGGAAUUGACGGAAGGGCACCACCAGGAGUGGAGCCUGCGGCUUAAUUUGACUCAACACGGGAAAACUUACCCGGCCCGGACACUGGAAGGAUUGACAGAUUAAGAGCUCUUUCUUGAUUCAGUGGGUGGUGGUGCAUGGCCGUUCUUAGUUGGUGGAGCGAUUUGUCUGGUUAAU